rnacentral:rRNA from 1 species
GUGCCAGCAGCCGCGGUAAUACAGAGGUCCCGAGCGUUGUUCGGAUUCACUGGGCGUAAAGGGUGCGUAGGUGGCAGGGUAAGUCGGAUGUGAAAGCUCGGAGCUCAACUCCGAAAUGGCAUUGGAAACUACCCAGCUCGAGGGUUGGAGGGGGGACUGGAAUGCUUGGUGUAGCAGUGAAAUGCGUAGAUAUCAAGCGGAACACCAGUGGCGAAGGCGAGUCCCUGGACAACUCCUGACACUGAGGCACGAAAGCUAGGGGAGCAAACAGGAUUAGAUACCCGGGUAGUCC